GACGAACGCUGGCGGCGUGCUUAACACAUGCAAGUCGAACGGAAAGGCCCUGCUUUUGUGGGGUGCUCGAGUGGCGAACGGGUGAGUAACACGUGAGUAACCUGCCCUUGACUUUGGGAUAACUUCAGGAAACUGGGGCUAAUACCGGAUAGGAGCUCCUGCUGCAUGGUGGGGGUUGGAAAGUUUCGGCGGUUGGGGAUGGACUCGCGGCUUAUCAGCUUGUUGGUGGGGUAGUGGCUUACCAAGGCUUUGACGGGUAGCCGGCCUGAGAGGGUGACCGGCAAAAUGGGACUUGGAAUACGGCCCGAACCCUAACGGGGGGAGGAGGGGGGAAUAUUGCCACAUGGGCGGAAGGCUUGAGGAGGCAACGCGGGGGGCGGAUGAACGGCUUUCGGGUUGAAACCGCUUUCGCCUGUGACGAAGCGUGAGUGACGGUAAUGGGUAAAGAAGCACCGGCUAACUACGUG
rnacentral:rRNA from 1 species